UAUUAACAUUGAAAAGUUAUAAACAAUGAAUCUAGGGGGAAACAUUACUGCAACAGCACGAGCCUGGUGUGUGCUGUGACAUAUGUGUGUAAUAUACGCCAGUGUAUUAUAGCUCGUCAGCUAUGUCAAAAUGCUCAGAUACAUGUGAGAAAGGUGAAUAAACGUGCUGCAGUAUAGACUUACUUGCAGGAAUGUUGCAGAUAAAAACCAGGAGCAAAAAAAUCGAAACAUAUAUUAUAUUCUUACAUUCUUGGAAGACAACACCACAUAUUUUAAAUAAUGAUAAAUCUAAUAUAAAAUCUGCCAAAUGAUACAUCCAUAUUUCAAAUUCAGUCAUUACAUAAAAUUUGUUUGUUUUAUGGCUAAAAUGAGCUGUCAAAUCAAUAAUCUACAUGUUUUAGCAUCACCAU
rnacentral:lncRNA from 1 species